rnacentral:rRNA from 1 species
GUGGGGAAUUUUGGACAAUGGGGGCAACCCUGAUCCAGCCAUGCCGCGUGCGGGAAGAAGGCCUUCGGGUUGUAAACCGCUUUUGUCAGGGAAGAAACGCGCUGAGCUAAUACCUCGGCGUAAUGACGGUACCUGAAGAAUAAGCACCGGCUAACUACGUGCCAGCAGCCGCGGUAAUACGUAGGGUGCAAGCGUUAAUCGGAAUUACUGGGCGUAAAGCGUGCGCAGGCGGUUGUGCAAGACAGAUGUGAAAUCCCCGGGCUUAACCUGGGAACUGCAUUUGUGACUGCACGGCUAGAGUACGGCAGAGGGGGAUGGAAUUCCGCGUGUAGCAGUGAAAUGCGUAGAUAUGCGGAGGAACACCGAUGGCGAAGGCAGUCCCCUGGGCCUGUACUGACGCUCAUGCACGAAAGCGUGGGGAGCAAACAGGAUUAGAUACCCCGGUAGUCC